CCUGGUGGCUCAGUUGGUAAAGAAUCUGCCUGCAAGGCAGGAGAACCAGGUUCGAUCCCUGCAUCAGGA
rnacentral:tRNA from 1 species